rnacentral:rRNA from 1 species
AUUGAACGCUGGCGGCAGGCUUAACACAUGCAAGUCGAGCGGAGAUGAGGUGCUUGCACCUUAUCUUAGCGGCGGACGGGUGAGUAAUGCUUAGGAAUCUGCCUAUUAGUGGGGGACAACAUUCCGAAAGGAAUGCUAAUACCGCAUACGCCCUACGGGGGAAAGCAGGGGAUCUUCGGACCUUGCGCUAAUGGAUGAGCCUAAGUCGGAUUAGCUAGUUGGUGGGGUAAAGGCCUACCAAGGCGACGAUCUGUAGCGGGUCUGCGAGGAUGAUCCGCCACACUGGGACUGAGACACGGCCCAGACUCCUACGGGAGGCAGCAGUGGGGAAUAUUGGACAAUGGGCGGAAGCCUGAUCCAGCCAUGCCGCGUGUGUGAAGAAGGCCUUUUGGUUGUAAAGCACUUUAAGCGAGGAGGAGGCUACCUGGAUUAAUACUCUAGGAUAGUGGACGUUACUCGCAGAAUAAGCACCGGCUAACUCUGUGCCAGCAGCCGCCGUAAGAC